rnacentral:lncRNA from 1 species
GGCCCUGGUCUGGCUCAGCCCCUGCCAUGGAGAGUGCAGUGUGGGGGUGCCCGCACAUCCCCUGCCGCUCCUGGGUAUCCCCCAGGGCUGAGGGCUGGUGCAGGCAGGGCUCGGCCCAUCCUUAGCCUGGGUUGGGGUGGGACAGGGCCCAGGGUGUGCAAAGUGCGGGUGCAAGACCCUGUGGAGGUGCAGAGAAGACCUGGGGGCUGUGGCCCCAACACCAGCCUCCACGGUGUGGCAGCGUGGGAGCUGGGGUCAGGGCCUCGGGCACCCCACCGACCGUCCACGUCGCUCACUGGCCGAGUGACAGGCCUCAGGGUGGGAAGGGAGCUGCCGGCGGAGCCGCCGCCUGGCCUGGAGGGGCUUGGCUCAGACAGGACCCCGGCCCAGGGGCCCCAGGGGAAGGGCUGGCCGUGUCCCCACAUCUGCUCCAGGUCCUCCGGGUCCCCUGGUCUCUUCUUCUCAGUCUCGGGCACUCGGCCAGCCCUGUGAAGGCUCGACCACAAGGCUGACAGGCCCUGUCUCCACGGAGAGACGCUGCUUGGACCAGGAGUCGGGAGCCGGGCGCCUGGCCCCUCCUCCCACCUCGUGGGAAGCCCGGGGCAGAGUGAGGAGGAGGGGCCGAAGCCCACAGGACCGACUGGAUACCUGCUGGGGACAAGACACGUCUCCUCUAGGUCGAGGCGGAGAAGGGGCAGCAGUCACGGAGAGGAGCCUGGGAGGACACCCUGACCCAGGACUAAGCAGCCGCGCAGGAAGCCGGCCCCAGGGCAGGGAGCAGAGCCGAGCGGGGUCCGGGUCAAUAAAGCCUCGUUUUGGAAAGUGAAACCACCGGCGCCCGCGGGCAGGUCCGCAUUUCCCUUGCAAACUCCAUUCCAAAGCCCAACGGCUGGGCGGGCGCAGGGCGCACCCAGCUCCCCGCGGCCGCCCGCCCGCGUGCCUUCGCGGUGACUCCCGGGGAGGGGUCGAAAGGGGCAGGGGACCCUGCUCCUCAGCAGCCGCCCCCUCCUCGCCUGGGGGCGCGCACAGCCGGGGG